rnacentral:rRNA from 1 species
GACGAACGCUGGCGGCGUGCCUAAUACAUGCAAGUAGAACGCUGAAGGAGGAGCUUGCUUCUCCGGAUGAGUUGCGAACGGGUGAGUAACGCGUAGGUAACCUGCCUGGUAGCGGGGGAUAACUAUUGGAAACGAUAGCUAAUACCGCAUAAGAGUAGAUGUCGCAUGACAUUUGCUUAAAAGGUGCAACUGCACCACUACCAGAUGGACCUGCGUUGUAUUAGCUAGUUGGUGAGGUAACGGCUCACCAAGGCAACGAUACAUAGCCGACCUGAGAGGGUGAGCGGCCACACUGGGACUGAGACACGGCCCAGACUCCUACGGGAGGCAGCAGUAGGGAAUCUUCGGCAAUAGACGGAAGUCUGACCGAGCAACGCCGCGUGAGUGAAGAAGGUUUUCGGAUCGUAAAGCUCUGUUGUAAGAGAAGAACGAGUGUGAGAGUGGAAAGUUCACACUGUGACGGUAUCUUACCAGAAAGGGACGGCUAACUACGUG